AACGGAAAUGGCAGCAGGUCAAAAUCAAAAUCUGCAGAAUGCAGUGAAAAAGAAUACCCAGAGACAAGGCACGGGUGGUGGGUCACCAAAAGCUGACCUCACCCCAGCAGAGGCCAGCUUUGGAGCUAAAUAAAGGCAGGCCUGUUGGAGGGAAUCCCUGGGGGAAAAGAGACAAGCAUAGGUCCCUCACAAGAUGCCACCCGCUUCAUACAAGUGUCUGGCAGCACUGUGUUACUGUUAAAGCCACCAGCACGAGCACCUGACGAUGCUGAUCCAGUGAGUACUCCAUCAAAGGCAUACUGUAGGCCUGGCAUGUCUUGUCUACUAGCUUCAAUAUGAAUCCGAUUAAAUGUGAUGGGGUCAAGGCCCCAUUUCAUCAGCACAUAACGGCGAUGAUGAUGAGGAGACCAUCUCGCUGGAUUCCAAAAGGCAUAAGGACCCAGAGUCAUUGGUGCACUGGACUGCACAAACAUAAGGAUUAAAGCCCCCUCAGGUGCCCAUGAGGCAGAUUUUGUAAAUAUGAAAUAUUUUUACAGCAUUAAUGUUCAGGUGAACAUAACUUUUGAUCUUUUCCAUUGAACACUGGCAAAAUGGCCUGGCUCAGUCCAUGACUCCAGAAUCUUUUGGACCUCUGAAAUCUAUCAGCGCCUAUCACAAGGUGAGCCACACAACCCAUAUAUAACCACUUUUUACAUAAUGGCUGUGUCAACAAUAUCACUGUGUUUUAUUAGUAAUGA